GGAAUCCCAUGUUCUCCACUGGACUUGUUUCUUUAAUUCAUUUCUCCAGAGGCCCCGCUCCAUGCCAGGACCACACCAGCAAGGGGACUGGGGAAAGUGUGUUCCCAGGCUCCGGUACAGAUGUCUUGCAUUUCCUGUGCUGCUUUAUGUGCUGCCUCCUCAGAGCUCGUCAAACUGGGAAGGGGUCCGAGGAGGAAUGCGGUGCACACACACCAUCAGAACCUCGCUGGGACCCUGGGACAAAGCCUGAGGAAGAGCCCCGCCCACUGCUCCCAGGUCAGGCACACGUGACUUCGGUUUCACAGGGUCCUGCAGCACUAUGAUAAACCAUAAUUCAGCGACAUUAUAUUUAAAAGAAUAGGGAUUUUAAAAAUGGAGAGAGGAUGCAAAAGGAUCCCUAUUGCCCUGAGAUCCACAGUGUCAUCCAGCUGCCAUUAGGUGCAUCUUAAGUUGUUCGAAGCUGCUGACCCGAGAAGCAAGCCAGACCGAGCACCUCCUCACAGGAUAGGAAGCAGCCUGAGCCCUGGGGGUUAAGUGGAUUAACUCCCUCCAUCACCUGAGCAAAAGAAGACAGAGACCAGGGUGCCCUCUUCCGAGCAGACCCACCUGAUGGAAGCAGGCAAACUCUUCCCUCUCACGUACAGAUAUUAUGCAGCUCCAUUCUCUGUCCGGAUUCAAGUUUGGAGAAGUUAACCCAUUUCCUGGUGGAUCAGUCUGUACACUUCCGGGGACGAGCUGAUGACGUACAGAAGAAAAUAUACCUUUGGGUUAAAAAGACAGUAAAGUUAAAAGAAAGAGAAUACAAGCUCUUUAUUGAUUUUCUUGCCAGUAUGUUUCUCCUAUUUAAGCAGAAAUCGGAGAGUUUUGCCACAUCUCUUCUUUUCUAGGUAUUUUGUUGAUUGUUCUUUCCUUCAAAUAGUAACUUCAACACCAGCUGAAUUAAAACCAAAUCUGUUUUCGUAGGAACACGAGUAUAUGUAUGUAUAUGCAUGACUGGGACAUUAUGCUGUAUGCCAGAAACUGACACAGUGUAACUGACUAUACUUCAAUUAAGAAAAAAAAAAUCUGAUUUACAUACGAGGUGACCAAAAAGAGUUAAAUCUGAAUGUCUCCCAUGUGAAGGGAGAGUCACCUCCCUUCUUGCCUGGGUCCUAAGUCCUUCCUCUGCCCGUCUUCCUCAUCUCACUGUGUCUUUCCCAGAAUGUUCUGGAUGAAGGGAAUAGGAGAGUAUGCAACUCAGUGUGCUCCCAACCACGUGCUGAGAUGCCUUCUUCCCCUGAGGCAAAGGUGCUUAAGACAAAACCUGAAACUGUAAAGAAAGGGAAAUCCUAACAUAAAUAUCACUUCUCAGCUAUGAUUCAUUCUCCUUUCUUUCCUUCUUUCUCAUAAACACAUGCAUAUUCACUUAAAGCAGCCUUAGGUUCCAGAAGUGAAGACAUUCUUAAGAAAGGAAAGUUUGCAAACUGAACAUCCCAUGACCUCUGCCCUGAUUACUGUGUAACUGCUGGCAGGUCAUUGUCUUUAAACAAGAGAAUGAGCAUCUCAGUGAUUAAUGAAGGUUUUCUUGACUGGCAGGGGGCCUUACCCAGAUGGUAACAGAAUUUUCCACCAACGUCUUAGUUUUAGAAUGAAAAUAGUAGAGAAAGGAAAAAAAUAUGCCAGUGCUUACAGAUUUGUUUCAAGCUCGUUGCUUUUGGACACGCUAAGGGUUUGUGUAAUUUUGGUGAUUACCAUUAUUCACUUGACUGUUUUCCAAUUACUAAAUCAAAAUUUCCUUUUGAGUUUGAAUUUGACCUCUCUGAUAUUCACAAAUGGGUCACCCAAUCGAAAUCAUAUUUUUCAAAGUGCCGUAAGUAAGAUUUUCAGAGACCACUUUGUUGAGUACCAGUCUCUCUCUGCUAAAUUACAAACUACCCCCACCCCUGGAAAUACCUUCGAUCUGCAAUCUGUUCUCUUUUAUGGCCCCCAGCAUGGCAAAGUUUGCCAAAACGGCCACUACAACUUUGGUUUCUCAUCUUAUUGCAAAGAAGACACCAAAUUACACGGCCCGCUAAGAGGAAGAAGUGAGUUGCCUUCACAGCUUUGUGGCAAUAAUGAGCCCUCCUGAGAAUGUGCUUACCUCCCAGCUGAUGAUCAGAGGUGGCAAAGCUGGUCUUUUCCACCAUCUCUCUUUCUCUUUCAGUCACUCAACGCCAAUCUACCACACCCACCCAACCCCUAGACACAUUUUCCCGCUUUUCAUUUUCCCAGAGAAAACACGGCUUCUUUGGAAAUCAACCAGUCCUCUUUCACCUUUAAGAGAAAUUUGCUUAUUGUGAUGCAUGCCACUAGCUGUACACCCAUAUCUCUUUUCCCAUUUUUCCCGAGCGCAGACCCUGACUGCAUCUCCCAGAUUCCCUUGUGUUCCCUGUGAGCAUGUGACUGAGCUCUAGCCAAUGAAAUCACGAGGGCUGCUUCCUCUCAGUUUUGCUCCUCCAUGUCUUCUUGUCUUUAAGGCUGACUGGGGUUGGGAUCCCCUCAGGGUAACUUUGCAAGCACCAACUUGACAGCUGCAGACCUGCUCUCAUCCUGGAGUCCUCGAAUGACCCCAUGGAGCAGAGACCCCCUUCCCUCACUAUUCACAGACUUGAAACCAUCCCAGGACAUUAAGUGAUUGAGAGAUAAACUGCUGCUGUGUUGAGUGCUUC